UCAAGCUACUAAGGGCAUACGGUGGAUGCCUAGGCGCCAGGAGCCGAAGAAGGACGCGGUAAGCUGCGAAAAGCCACGGGGAACUGCAAGCGAGUAUUGAUCCGUGGAUAUCCGAAUGGGGAAACCCGGCCAUCGUAAUGGAUGGUCAUCCGCAAGGAAGGGAACCCGGGGAACUGAAACAUCUAAGUACCCGGAGGAAAAGAAAUCAAACGAGAUGCCCACAGUAGCGGCGAGCGAAGAGGGCAGAGCCCAAACCUGUAAGCUACGGCUUAUGGGGGUUGAGGACUGACGUAAUUAAGGCCAGGCUUAGCUGAACUACCUGGGAAGGUAGGCGAUAUAAGGUAAGAGCCCUGUAAGCGAAAAGCAGAGCCUUAAGGUCAGUAUCCAGAGUACCACGGAGCACGAGGAAUUCUGUGGGAAGCAGGGGGGACCACCCUCCAAGGCUAAAGACUAACUGGCGACCGAUAGCGCAUAGUACCGUGAGGGAAAGGUGAAAAGAACCCCGGGAGGGGAGUGAAAUAGUACCUGAAACCGUAUGUCUACAAGCAGUCGGAGCGAAAGCGACGGCGUGCCUAUUGAAGAAUGAACCAACGAGUUAUCUGCACUAGCGAGGUUAAGUGGAAGACACGGAGCCGUAGCGAAAGCGAGUCUGAAAAGGGCGGCGAGUUAGUGUAGGUAGACCCGAAACCGCAGUGAUCUACCCAUGUCCAGGUUGAAGCGCAGGUAAAAAUGCGUGGAGGACCGAACCGGUGAGCGUUGAAAAGCUUUCGGAUGAGAUGUGGGUAGGGGUGAAAUUCCAAUCGAACGCGGAGAUAGCUGGUUCUCCCCGAAAUAGCUUUAGGGCUAGCCUCAGGUAGUAAGUAUAGGCGGUAGAGCACUGAUCGGGCUAGGGGCCAUAAAGGUUACCGAACCCUGUCAAACUCCGAAUGGAUAUACUGCAGAGCCUGGGAGUCAGACUACGAGUGAUAAGAUCCGUGGUCAAAAGGGAAACAGCCCAGACCACCGGCUAAGGUCCCAAAUGCCGUACUAAGUGGAAAAGGAUGUGGGGAUUCAUAAACAACCAGGAUGUUGGCUCAGAAGCAGCCACCAUUUAAAGAGUGCGUAAUAGCUCACUGGUCGAGAGUCCCUGCGCCGAAAAUUUCCGGGGCUAAAGUACGGAACCGAAGCCGUGGCUGUGUACUUAGGUGCACGGGGUAGGGGAGCGUUGCCACAGGGGUGAAGCUGGUCUGGAAGGACUGGUGGACUUGUGGGAAGUGAGAAUGUUGGUAUGAGUAGCGAAAAGAAAGGUGAGAAUCCUUUCCACCGAAAGCAUAAGGAUUCCUGAGCAACGAUCGUCGUCUCAGGGUAAGUCGGGACCUAAUCCGAGGCAAAGAGCGUAGGAGAUGGACAACAGGUUGAUAUUCCUGUACCGGCAGCAAUUGUUUGAGCGAAGGAGUGACACAGAAGGGCAGGCAGGCGCGAGACUGGAUUGUCGCGUGCAAGCGUGUAGGGUAGUGUACAGGCAAAUCCGUACACUGAAAGCCUGAGGCGUUACGCGGAGCGAGCAGAGAUGCGAGCGAAGCUGCUGAUCCCACACUGUCGAGAAAAGCUUCUAGUGAGAGAGCUGCCGCCCGUACCGUAAACCGACACAGGUAUGCGGGGAGAGAAUCCUAAGGUGCGCGGGAGAACCCUCGUUAAGGAACUCGGCAAAAUGUACCCGUAACUUCGGGAUAAGGGUAGCCGUCUUGGUGAAGGAACUAGCUUCUGGAGCUGAAGGCGGUCGCAGAGAAGAGGCCCAAGCGACUGUUUACCACAAACACAGGUGCCUGCUAAAGCGAAAGCUGACGUAUAGGUGCUGACACCUGCCCAGUGCUGGAAGGUUAAGGAAGGAUGUCCGGGCAACCAAAGCAUUCGACCGAAGCCCCAGUGAACGGCGGCCGUAACUAUAACGGUCCUAAGGUAGCGAAAUUCCUUGUCGGGUAAGUUCCGACCCGCACGAAAGGUGUAACGACUUGGGCACUGUCUCAACGAGGGACCCGGUGAAAUUGAAGUACCUGUGAAGAUGCAGGUUACCCGCGACUGGACAGAAAGACCCCAUGGAGCUUUACUGUAACCUGACAUUGGGUUUUGUUGUAUUACGUACAGGAUAGGUGGGAGGCUUGGAAGGCUGGACGCUAGUCUGGCUGGAGCCGGCGUUGGGAUACCACCCUUGAUACAACGGAAUUCUAACCGAAGAAGUAACGAAUCUCGGGACAGUGUCAGGCGGGCAGUUUGACUGGGGCGGUCGCCUCCGAAAGAGUAACGGAGGCGCC
rnacentral:rRNA from 1 species